rnacentral:lncRNA from 1 species
GACCGAGGUAAGGCAUUGCCUAGUCUACGGAAAAAUUUGAUUUCCAUGGAGUUGUAAGAUUCGAAGGGAUGUAGCUUUGAAGCUAGUGGAACACUUAGAGUUUCCAAGGGAAAUAGGAGAUUCUGCAGGGAAGGAAGACUAAAGGGCUAUACUGACUGGAGGGUAGUGUACAGGCAGGAGGAGUUACUGUCAAACAUGGGUCCAGAGGUAUUAACAAGAAGAAUGGACAAGGGAAGCAAUCGUUGUACAGAGGCACGCAAAGUAAGCGCAGGGGUACCUGGAGGACCCAGAGUGGUACA